UAUUAUGAUACAUGAUGUAAUUUUUUGGACUGCUUCUCCAGUAGCAUGAUGAAGGAUCAUGACCUUUCGGGCUGUCAGUCUGGUCCAGGUGGGUCGUCUGGAGAGUGGAGGCAGGCUGAACAUGUCUGCUCGGCUCAGAGUCAUCGUCUGGCAGCAAACCUACAGGGUCAAACAACUUUACUUCCUCUUGGAUGUCUCAGCUGCCUUUGAUUGAUCCCUUGUGGCACCAUGAAGGCCACUAGGAUGGGAACAUGUGAUCGUCUGAACAUCUGCGCUGAAGUCAGUUCCCUAUCAAAGCUCUGGAUGAAGAGACAGUGCCUCUUGUGAUGAUGAGGAAACAUCAAAGCCCAUCCUUGCAGCUUGACACCGCUCAUUACAGCUGCCAUGCUUUAUGAGGACUCCUCUUCAAAGCUGGAGCCAGGUAAACAAAGCUGUCAAUUACCAAAAGAGCAGCAGUAUUGAGUGAAGACACCAACUGGGGACGAGUUCAGUGGAGUUUUGACAUAAAAUACCGUUUUGGAACUCAAGACAAUGGUUGCAUCAUCUUUUUUUACCCACAAUUAACUAUUAACCUGUAACAAUGUACUUUAUUAUUUAUUUAUUUUCAGUUUGUGUUCUUUGUUUCAUUUACAGUGUCACAACA